UACGUAGGGGGCAAGCGUUGUCCGGAAUUAUUGGGCGUAAAGCGCGCGCAGGCGGUUCUUUAAGUCUGGUGUAUAGGUGCGGGGCUCAACCCCGUGAGGCACUGGAAACUGGGGAACUUGAGUGCAGAAGAGGAGAGCGGAAUUCCACGUGUAGCGGUGAAAUGCGUAGAGAUGUGGAGGAACACCAGUGGCGAAGGCGGCUCUCUGGACUGUAACUGACGCUGAGGCGCGAAAGCGUGGGGAGCAAACAGG
rnacentral:rRNA from 1 species